rnacentral:lncRNA from 1 species
UCUCUUUUGUUGGUUUAAACACAAUCCUUAUCUCUCCCUCCGGUUUAAACAAAACACGUGGCCACUAUCCAAUUUAAACAUCAUCUUCAAUUGCUUUUCAGAUUUAAACAAUGCUUCCUUGGUUUAAACACCACGUUCAUAUUUUCCUUCCAGGUUAAACACCAUCUCUUUGGUUUAAUUACCAUUGCUUUAGUUUAAACACCAUUCCAAGUUUAAGCACCAUUAUCAUUGCUUUGGUUGAGCACCAUUACCAUU